rnacentral:rRNA from 1 species
ACGGAACCACAUAAGCAGGUGAAACUUCUUAGAGGAACUGGCGCCCGAAAAGGCGCACGAGAAAGAGCAAUAACAGGUCUGUGAUGCCCUAAGAUGUCCGGGGCCGCACGCGUGCUACAAUGACGAUGCUACUGAGCAUGAUUAACUUGUCCGAAAGGAUUGGUGAAACUGUUCAAUCAUCGUCGUGACUGGGAUUGAGGUUUGCAAUUAUCCCUCAUGAACCAGGAAUUCCUAGUAAGCACAAGUCAUAAGCUUGUGCUGAUUACGUCCCUGCCCUUUGUACACACCGCCCGUCGCUACUACCGAUUGAAUGGUUUAGCAAGGACAUUGGAUUGAGCCUUUGCGGUUCACGCUGCUUUGGUUUGAGAAGAUGUCCGAACUUGAUCAUUUAGAGGAAGUAAAAGUCGUAACAAGGUUUCCGUAGGUGAACCUGCGGAAGGAUCAUUAUCAAGUUCCUAUAAAUUAUAGUUGCACAGCCUAUACUCAGUGAUUGAGAGGUCUGCUGCCCCCUCGGUCGGUAAUGGGGAGAUUAUGCUCCCCCGCUGACCAAUUAUGGUACAGAAAUGAGCUCUAUGGCCCUGGCUGUAACACUUCUUACGGUCUGUGGCUCGUAUUGUUCAUGCGCCGACCCACUGGGCGGACUGUUUGGCUUGUGCGAUUAGUGACGUGUUGCACAGGUUGAAUUGUCUUGCAGCUCAGGUUCAGUGAGGCCGGUACGUUCACGCCCCUCUCCCUUCGGGUGAGUCUGUUUGUGCUUUUAUUUGUGCUCAAAGUCGGAAAGGUCUGGCCUUUGGAAGUAGCUCGGUAGUGAAAACCCACCAUAGCACGACUCGGUGCUCUUUAUAGUUACUACUUGGUGAAAACAUAAUACGGACCUGGAAGGCUAUUCAGCGUCUCUGGC